UCCAAAUUCAAUGGUAGGGGAAACACAGGCCACCUGUUGGUGUUGAGACAUCGGGGGACAAUCGAAAGGGACACUAUGCAGAAGAAUUAAAUCUCAGCUGAAAUGCGCGGCAUCUCGAUAUUGAACCCGAGAGUCUCCCGUGGCAACAGUUUUGACGACGGCUGACGCUCCGGCCCCGCGUCGGGGCAUCAAAGUUGCCAUUCUCCGCGCUCUCCGAGCCUGGGUAGCUGUUGGGGAUGUAUGCAUCGGAAGGGAACACCGCUUUCCCAGUGGUGCUGCAGCUUUCUAGGGAGACGCUGACCACUCCGGCCUCGGUGCGGCAAUUACAACUGGGACAUGGGUUCAUUUCUGUAGCCUGCAAUAUUUUACAUUUCCCAUUAUGAGCUACGACGACAAGUGUGUCAACGCUGAGGGCGAAACGCUCUACAGUAAAUCGACUGACACGGCGACGCCCAGCUAACACAAAUCAAACUUACCAGUCAUGUCCGUACUAAUGCGACCCUACUUAGAGAAAGUGAGAAAUCCCGUGUGUACAUAAUGCAUGCUCGAUUUUAAAAUUCAUGAGCCACUUUGGACGUGGCUGUUCACAGGAGAUGAACGCACACAGCCUUCACUGCUGUGGCAAGAUGUCGCUCUUAUGAAGCAGCAUCGCUUUCUGUCUAUUGUGGCAAACUGUUGUGUGUAAACAUCGGCAUCUCUGCCUCCUCUCUAUGAUUGUUGAGCAUCGGUGCAUCGGAUGGCAUGAAUUUGAUUCCUGCAUCAUCUACAUAAUAGCAAAUUAGGGAAUAUAGAUACAAUUCCAAACAAUCAAUUCAACUCAUAAAUGUACAGUUCACCUGAUGAAGGAGUGAUGUGUUUCCUUCAUUUGAUGUUACAGUAAAACACUCAGCAAUUUCUGGCCACUAGGGGGCCGGAAUAAAGGCUGGGUAUUAAAAAAAAAGCAACAGAUUUUCCUGGUGAACUUUGAUUCAUAUGCCGUGUGUGUUACACAACCCUGGUUUAAAACUGGCGUGAUACAAGUCUCAAGACAGAAAAGUAACAGAAGAGUUGGUGGAGUAAAGAAUUUCACGCGCUCAUGUGUGCUAGCAAUUAAAGUCAUUUCAAUUCAAUUUUAACUUCAGUUCAAACUCAGCCUCAUUUUUUGAUUAGGACCAUUUUUUACACGACAUUAUUAAUAUUUCAAAUGCUUUUCAAUGUUUCCACCACAACACCCACUACAGUCGAUUGCCUCCCCCACACUCCAAAUGAUUCACGGGAAGUGAACAGUCCCUUAACAUCAAAUGUCGAUCCGAACUAAAUAAAAGUUGAUCUUCAGAGACCCACGACGGGGUUUGGUACAUUGGCUGGAGGGUGAAAGCUGCUGCUUGGUCCAGAGAAAUGGGACGAGGUCCAGCUUCCGACCGAUUCGCCGCGGUCCCACUGGCAGCGGCGCUUAUUUCCCCUUUAAUGACUGCUCCGCACAUAUCAUGACAUUACGUAACGAUGACUCAUGGCAUCUGCCGCGGCCAUCUUGUGGUUUUCCACAUAACAUGAAAGUUUCUUCCUGAUGUAGCGAGUGAAGAAAGUAGAAUUUCGACUGAAACAUUGCACAUACUACUCAUGCAACUCAUGGAAAACAAGCCCGCAGAGACGACCUCGCCCGAAUAAGAACCAAGAUUGAGCUUUGUUUGCUUGAAAUCAUCCUCCUUGUUCAGUAUUGUCACUCGCGUGCGUUGAUGGCAAUUAGCGAGGACGGCUUCAAGUGAGUUUGAGAUUUUUAUUAAACUAAUAUCGCUAAUAUUGCCAGCCCGAUGUGCCCGGGGAGUCCUCUGUCAGCCAAUUUGCUUAAUGUAAAAUAGGCCAUGCAUUCAUCUCCCAGCUGUUUGACGCCUGCGCCGCGCUCGUUCCUCUGUCUCUCUCUCUGCCUUGCCACCGUCCAAAUAUAACCUUGCCCCAAUCUGAUUUAACCACCGCGGUCUCAUCCCUGGGGCAAAAUGGACUCAUUUGUGCGGAGAGAGAAAAGAAGAGGAACAGGAGAGAGAGGGGGCGAGACAAGUGAGAAUAGGAAGUCCAGCUGAGAAGAAAAUAAAAGGGCUCGGAGGGUGGAGGGCUGCGGAGAGCGGUAGUGAAUAGAGAGGGCGAUGGAGAGAGGAGGGGAGCGAAAGACGAGAUGUGCUCUGCGAACAAGGUCACUAAUUGGGUUGAGACUUGUAGCGCUCGCGCGAUCCCUUCCCCUCGUCCCUGACAGAAAUCAAAUUAUUUUCAAAAAUCUUUAAUAAGAGCAAGAGAAGAAAAUAUGCUAAUUUCCACGGGAUAGAUUGGGGUUGAAAGGAGAGGCAACAUUACGGGAACAAAAUAACAAGUUGGCCACCAAUAUCAUAUUAAUGUAGACUUUUUUGGGGGGCCAGUGUUGUGUGAACUCAAUGAACCCGACUUGCUGAAGUUCUUUUGGCACUUUCUCUUUUGUAACAUAAUCCAUAUAUGAGAAAAGUUAAGAUUGGAGAAGAGAUGUAUCUUCCUCUGCCCCAGACGUGUGACACAUCACCGUUAUUUGACAGCGGCCGCUAACCCAACCUCGAUCCACGGGCGCUGUUAACCCGGCGCUCCCUGAUCGUAUUAGCCGACCCUACCUGAUCAUAUUAUACACCUGUUGGGACUUCCUGUCCUGCCACAGAGAGAUAUUGACUCAAUUUAUUCUGUUUGCCUCAAAGAAAAGAAAGAAAGUCUGCUAAUAGCAACAAAAAAACACAGUACAUCCAUCUCCUUCCUUCUGAGACACAGGUCGGAAUGGUCAUGGAUGCAAUUAACAAAAAGGAACAUUAAAUACUUUAUGCUGAGUAAUGUUUACUUAUAUUUCCAGCGGGAAAAAUUAACCCACAAUGUUAUUUGUUUUUUUAGGUUCAGGUCAAUAUAUGCUGCAGAUAUCUAUAUUUUUCAAAACCUUGUCGUGUUGAAUUAUGAAUGCAAAUCCAAUGUGAUGGAGGUUAAUCGACUUUUGGCUUAUAAUUAGUUUUAGAGCCUUUGACAGACGCAUCAGUAUCGGUGUUAAUGUUUGCCGAUAUACAACAGUAU